AAUGAACGCUGGCGGCAGGCCUAACACAUGCAAGUCGAACGGGUCCUUCGGGACUAGUGGCGGACGGGUGAGUAACGCGUGGGAACGUGCCCUUUGCUACGGAAUAGCCUCUGGAAACGGAGAGUAAUACCGUAUGUGCCCUUUGGGGGAAAGAUUUAUCGGCAAAGGAUCGGCCCGCGUUGGAUUAGGUAGUUGGUGGGGUAAUGGCCUACCAAGCCGACGAUCCAUAGCUGGUUUGAGAGGAUGAUCAGCCACACUGGGACUGAGACACGGCCCAGACUCCUACGGGAGGCAGCAGUGGGGAAUCUUAGACAAUGGGGGAAACCCUGAUCUAGCCAUGCCGCGUGAUCGAUGAAGGCCUUAGGGUUGUAAAGAUCUUUCAGGUGGGAAGAUAAUGACGGUACCACCAGAAGAAGCCCCGGCUAACUCCGUGCCAGCCGCCGCAGUAAUAC
rnacentral:rRNA from 1 species